AUACGUAGGUGGCGAGCGUUGUCCGGAAUUACUGGGUGUAAAGGGCGUGUAGGCGGGGAUGCAAGUCAGAUGUGAAAUUCCGGGGCUUAACUCCGGAGGUGCAUCUGAAAUUGUAUUUCUUGAGUGCUGGAGAGGGAAGCGGAAUUCCUAGUGUAGCGGUGAAAUGCGUAGAUAUUAGGAGGAACACCAGUGGCGAAGGCGGCUUUCUGGACAGUAACUGACGCUGAGGCGCGAAAGCGUGGGGAGCAAACAGGAUUAGAUACCCUGGUAGUCCACGAUGUAAACGAUGGAUACUAGGUGUGGGAGGUAUCGACCCCUUCCGUGCCGGAGUUAACACAAUAAGUAUCCCACCUGGGGAGUACGGCCGCAAGGUUGAA
rnacentral:rRNA from 1 species